GACGAACGCUGGCGGCGUGCCUAACACAUGCAAGUCGAGCGAGUGAAUCUCCUUCGGGAGUGAAGCUAGCGGCGGACGGGUGAGUAACACGUGGGCAACCUGCCUCAUAGAGGGGAAUAGCCUUCCGAAAGGAAGAUUAAUACCGCAUAAGAUUGUAGCUUCGCAUGAAGUAGCAAUUAAAGGAGCAAUCCGCUAUGAGAUGGGCCCGCGGCGCAUUAGCUAGUUGGUGAGGUAACGGCUCACCAAGGCGACGAUGCGUAGCCGACCUGAGAGGGUGAUCGGCCACAUUGGGACUGAGACACGGCCCAGACUCCUACGGGAGGCAGCAGUGGGGAAUAUUGCACAAUGGGGGAAACCCUGAUGCAGCAACGCCGCGUGAGUGAUGACGGCCUUCGGGUUGUAAAGCUCUGUCUUCAGGGACGAUAAUGACGGUACCUGAGGAGGAAGCCACGGCUAACUACGUG
rnacentral:rRNA from 1 species